CUGAUCCCAAAAAUGUGGCCACAACAGAGACCCAAAGUCCUCAUCAACAAUUCACAUCAUCCACCACAGAAAGAACAGCGAGAAAGCAUCCCACACUUCAUGGCACAAGCUCGCCAACCACAACAACAGGGCAUAUAGCUUUGACAACAACAAAUGAAG